rnacentral:rRNA from 1 species
GAUGAACGCUGGCGGCGUGCCUAAUACAUGCAAGUCGAGCGAACAGAUAAGGAGCUUGCUCCUUUGACGUUAGCGGCGGACGGGUGAGUAACACGUGGAUAACCUACCUAUAAGACUGGGAUAACUUCGGGAAACCGGAGCUAAUACCGGAUAACAUAUUUAACCGCAUGGUUCAAUAGUGAAAGGCGGCUUUGCUUUCCCUUAUAGAUGUAUCCCCGCCGUAUUAGCUAGUUGGUAAGGUAACGGCUUACCAAGGCAACGAUACGUAGCCGACCUGAGAGGGUGAUCGGCAACACUGGAACUGGGAAACGGUCCAGACUCCUACGGGAGGAAGCAGUAGGGAAUCUUCCGCAAUGGGCGAAAGCCUGACGGAGAAACGCCGCGUGAGUGAUGAAGGUCUUCGGAUCGUAAAACUCUGUUAUCAGGGAAGAACAAAUGUGUAAGUAACUGUGCACAUCUUGACGGUACCUGAUCAGAAAGCCACGGCUAACUACGUG